GAUGAACGCUGGCGGCGUGCCUAAUACAUGCAAGUCGAGCGAACAGAUAAGGAGCUUGCUCCUUUGACGUUAGCGGCGGACGGGUGAGUAACACGUGGAUAACCUACCUAUAAGACUGGGAUAACUUCGGGAAACCGGAGCUAAUACCGGAUAACAUAUUGAACCGCAUGGUUCAAUAGUGAAAGGCGGCUUUGCUUUCACUUAUAGAUGGAUCCGCGCCGUAUUAGCUAGUUGGUAAGGUAACGGCUUACCAAGGCAACGAUCCGUAGCCGACCUGAGAGGGUGUUCGGCCACACUGGAACUGAGACACGGUCCAGACUCCUCCGGGAGGCACCAGUAGGGAAUCUUCCGCAUUGGGCGAAAUCCUGACGGAGCAACGCCGCGUGAGUGAUGAAGGUCUUCGGAUCGUAAAACUCUGUUAUCAGGGAAGAACAAAUGUGUAAGUAACUGUGCACAUCUUGACGGUACCUGAUCAGAAAGCCACGGCUAACUACGUG
rnacentral:rRNA from 1 species